GUUAUUGAAAGCAGUAGGAUUCUGAAUGAGAAUGCAAUUUAUCUUGUGCCAAAGAGAACCAACAAUGAAUCCAAAUCAGACAAUGAUUGUGGAAAAUGUUUUUUACCCAAACAUCCCUAAGAUGAUGGCAAGAAGAAAAAAAAUCAUGAAACUAUAGUGCAAAGGAAAAUGAGGGGGCCGCCAUCGCUCCAGCGCCA
rnacentral:lncRNA from 1 species